GACGAACGCUGGCGGCGUGCUUAACGCAUGCAAGUCGAACGAGACGAUUGAAAGCUUGCUUUCGAAAGUCGAGUGGCAAACGGGUGAGUAACGCGUAGACAACCUGCCUUUGAGAUGGGGACAACAGCUCGAAAGGACUGCUAAUACCGAAUGUUGUAUAUUUUCCACAUGGAAGAUAUAUUAAAGAUGGCCUCUAUUUAUAAGCUAUCGCUCAAAGAUGGGUCUGCGUCUGAUUAGCUGGUUGGUGGGGUAACGGCCUACCAAGGCGACGAUCAGUAGCCGGUCUGAGAGGAUGAACGGCCACAUUGGGACUGAGACACGGCCCAGACUCCUACGGGAGGCAGCAGUGGGGAAUCUUCCACAAUGGACGAAAGUCUGAUGGAGCAACGCCGCGUGAGUGAAGAAGGGUUUCGGCUCGUAAAGCUCUGUUGCCGGGGACGAAUGUGCAGUAUUUGAAUAAAGUACUGUAAUGACGGUACCUGACGAGGAAGCCACGGCUAACUACGUGCCAGCCGCCGCGGUAA
rnacentral:rRNA from 1 species